ACACUUCCGGCUAAGUACGGGCGUAAUAAUGGUGAUUAAAACUGUUCACCGUUCCUUUGAGUUCCUCGUAGAUUCUGGAUAUUAGUCCUUUGUUGGAGGUAUAGAUUGUGAAGAUUUUCUCCAAUUCAUCGCCGUUUUUUAGAGUUUUUCUCACUAAAUAUUGACUAACGGAACCUAGCCCUGUAAUGUUGAUAGUCGGGCGGGUCGGAAGUGGCUGAGGUGGAGUAUCUGCAGGAGAAGAACUGAGGCUCCUAAGUGCAGCAUCUUGUCCAAGAGGUUUCGUCCCAAUGCGUGGGGAACAUCCGGAUUGUGAUGUUUAGCUCUCAGUUUCUAACUUGGGCAUUCUAGCAACUGUAUUUCUCAUUUAAUGUUUUAUGGGCACACAUGCAGAGGAGUUUUCGUCACUGAAAAGCCCGACAACUUCCCCUGCCAACCCAUUGGAAUUAAAAAAACCUCGAUAACCUCUUAAACACAUGGAAAUGGAACCCUGAGCAGAGGUAAAAGCCUAGCAGUGAUCACUCUUUUGGCGACUUGGAAAUCGGGGUGAGCUUUUAUCCGUUACCUGUGCCCUGUUGUUAGGGGUCGACUGCUGCUGUUCUUCCUUGGAAACUGGCUCCACUGCAUUUCGGGGCUGGGAUGUUGUUAAAGCAUUCACAGCCCUCAGAGCACAUGACGAGGGAGUUGGGAAAUGAAGCAAGCAGGACCUUCCACUUUGUAGCAGACUUAUUUCUGGAGAAACUGAUGGUUGGGGCCACAAAACGCUUUCAGUGUAGGCUCAUCAUGACUCAUUUGGACAUCCUAUUUUCUCUCCUUAUGUAUGAGAUUGUGGUGGGUAUCUGUACAGCCUAAGGACCUUGGGUGGACCUGGCCAGCAAUGGGACUGUUACUGAUGAUGCAUCACAUGGUGUCACUAGGAAAAGCAUAGAUCAGCUGAGGAUCAAUCUUCCCACCAGAGAGGGUAAACUGACAGAUGGGAAACUGAGGCCUGGAGAGAUUUCGUCUCCUGCUCAACAUUGUCACAACUUGUCAGAGAUGGAGCCUGAGCAAAAUCCCAGGUCUGCCUGAUUCUGAAGCCUGGACUUUUACAGAACACUGCCUCUGACCAUGGCUAUGCUGGCAUUCAGCAAGUAGGAACAUCAGGAGCACUGAGGCUGUCACUAAUGGUCCUGUCCCAGCCCCUCCACUGUGAAGCUGAGACCUUUCACAGGAACCAAAAAGGGAUUGAUGCUGUGGAGAUGGGACACUGAUACUCGCAGGUAUGCACACUGCUGGGCAGGUCCACAUGACCGAUACGUGCCAGAAGCCAACUGGAACAAAGCUGUGAAAUGGGAGCAUUUCUGAGAAAGAGAAUAGCAGCCCCUCCCUGGUGCCAGCCCAGCCCACACAGCUGGGCCUGGCAUUCUCCCUAACACAACACAUCGCUGAAGAGCAACACCAGACAAGCCACUCAUGACCCAAUGCAGCAAGACAGACAGACACCGGGUGACUGUGUCUGGACACAGAAAACAUGCCAUGGUCUAGCCACCAAUCACAGACACUGGGUGACCGUGUCUGGACACAUAUGGGACACACCUCGGCCCAACCACCGAACGAUUCCCUGUUAUGCCUACUAGGAAUGACAGCUGCUUCUUUACCUGCAUUUUCUUUAAGCACCUGUGCCAGGUGGUUUCACUCCUGAGCCUCCAGCAUGGUGUGUCAGGAAUACUUCUGUCCAAGAGUCAGGGCUGCUUGUUCAAACCUUUGCUUGGCCAUUAAUUCCCUGAAAGCUCUUGGAUAAGUCAUGUCUUGGUCUGUUUUCUGUAGCUAUAACAGAAGAUCUGAGACUAGGUAAUUUAUGAAGAAAAAGGCUUAGCUCACAGUUCUGGAGGCUGUGAAGUUCAAGAUCAGGUGGCUGCAUCUGGCAAGGGCUUCGUGUGCAUUGCAACAUGGUGGAUGACAUUACUUGGCAAGAGCACAUGUGAGAGAGGUGAGCAGGUGUAUGCAAAGAGACAAAACGCAAGGGGUGGCCUUGCUCUGUGACCUCCUGCUCUCCAGAUAGCUCAUCCAGUCCUGCAAGAGUGAGAGUUCACUCUGGAGAAAGAGCAUUAAUCCCGCUAUGAGGGCAGAGCCAGCCCUCUGCUGCAAAUGCCUCUUCAAUGUCCCACCAUCGGUCAGCACUGUUGCAUUGGGGGUUUCAAUUGGUCUCAGUUUCAAUGUUAAGGCAUGGUUGAAACAAGUGAGCUCUGAGGCCCUGUGACUCAGUGAGAGAGGACGCGAUGGGAAAGGGAAGGAGCCUGGAGGCCACAGGGACAUGGCCUCAGGGAGGCAGGCCCUCUGGUCAAUGUGAAGAGAACACAAGGCGCCCACAAACCACCUGCCGGUGGAAGGCUCCCAGACGCUGAGCAGGGUGCAAGGUGUCAGGACUUUUGGCCUGCUGGCAUGUGCCUGUCAGGGAGGGUGGGUGCACCUGGCCUAGCUGUACUUGGAGAAAGAAGCAGGCUGGGUUCCACGGCUCGUGAUCCAACAACCCCGGCCACUUUAUAGGCCCUGAAGGAGAUAUGAAAGCCCAGAUGCUGUUUUUAUGGGUUUCUGCUGUUGUUGUUUGUGUUUCAUGAAAUGUUUUAAUUGUUUGGUUUUUUAUGCAAUGUAUCCUGAGGCUUUUAAAAUUAUUUCACAAAGAGUACGUGUAGCACUGAAUGUGAAACAGACUCAUUUACAAAUUGUAGGCCGACCACAUUAGAGAAGGUGAAAGCUGCGAGCAUUGCUCUCUGCUGCCUUCGGGCUGCUGCACUAAAUAGCAGGUCACCGGCCUCGCCGGUGCUGGGGAAGGAGCACAUGAAAGGUAGGAAUGUGCUUCUCCCCAACCGAGCCUCCUCACCAGUUGUCUCUGAAUUUCUCUACUGGUUGGAAAGCAAUUUUCUUAUUAGAGAAAAAGAAAAGAAACAAAGUCAUGGUGGCCCCACCAACCUUAUCUCUUCACUCUGGAAAUUAAUAGCAAAGAUGUGCAGCAGCCACGCUGGCAGAGAGAACCACACCCCAGACCGUCCAGCAAAGCCAGGCAUGGGGAAGCGUGUCAGCAUCCGAUAAACCUGGUUGGAAACUUCUCAGUUUAAACCGCUUCAGAGACUAGCUUGAUUUUCCCACCUGAUUCUGUCAUGUUUUCUGGAUGCAUGGUCUCCUGGGACACUCCUGCCAUGAAAGAACCAGGAGGCUCUCCACUGGACAGUCACCUUAGGAAUGGGAUAGUCACAUGUGAAAUCUUGACCUGUAUAGAUGCCCCUUAUUGAUAAGAAGCUCUUUAGUUACCACAUUUUGCAAGGGUGGCAGGUUUGCCCUGUUUGAUGGCUUGCACAAGGGCCCUGAAACACCAAAUCCACAUGUGUACCACCAUUCUGCAUAUGGACUGAAUUUGGCAAAACUCAUGGUGAAUUGUCUAAGAGCCUGGACUGACUUGCUUGUUUCUUUAUUUUUUUGAGACUGAUUCUCUCUCUAUCACCCAGGCUAAAGUGCAGUGGCACAAUCUCGGCUCACUGCAACCUCCACCUUGGGUUCAAGCAAUUCUUGUGCCUCAGCCUCCCGAGUAGCUGGGAUUACAGGCACCUGCCACCACGCCCAGCUAAUUUUUGUAUUUUUAGUAGAGAAGGGGUUUCAGCAUGUUGGCCAGGCUAGUCUCGAACUCCUGACCUCAAGUAAUCCGCCCACCUCAGUCCCCCAAAGUGCUGGGAUUACAGGUGUGAGCUACUGCGCCUGGCCAGAUUUGCUUGUUUCUGAGCCAAGGUUACCGCGCUGGCUUUGAGUCACAUUUGAUUGUUAUCCCCUGGGUGCCUAUUAAACACACCGGUUCCUGUGUCCUACUCAAGACCAACUCAAACAGAAUCUUCAGGGUACAUACCUGGGGAGCUGGAUGUUUAACAAGCACCCCAGAAUUCUUCUCAUGGGGGAAGUGUGGGAAACCUGGGACUUGCUUCAGAGACCAGCGACCUCGCUCUGUGGGCAGAGUGGAGAGCAUCCUGGGACACUUGGCUCAUGGCCUCAGCUUUGGAAAUGGAUGAGCUAGGGUUAAGACCUUCCCUUGGGAGGGCUCAGAACUCAGCGAGCUGUGCCUUAGGAUAUGAGGCUGCUGUUGGGCUCAACCUGGAACAAGUACAGGUGCUGGCUUAGCUUGAUGGGUAAGAACAGGAUUUGCAGAUGGGGGGCUCCCUGUCUUGUUAGCAUUUUCAGUCUUUUGGCCAUGUCAGUAAGCUCAGGACAGGGCAAGGGCUUCUGGAAGACAAAGGAGGACAGUGAGAUUGGGCUGUUCUAUAACAUUUAUUCAGGUCUCUGGCAGAAGCCCCGUGGAACCUCAGCCGGACAGGAGGUGACGCUUCUCCAGAUGACAGUUCUUGUGCCAGCGUCUCAGGUCUGCUCCAGGCUGACGGGUGCUCCGUGCACACAGCAGACCCUGCCGGAAGCUGCAAGUUUGGGAAUCGCAGUAAGGGGUGGUGAGCUGUUCUUUGGUUGUGCGAUCACGUUUACCAGUAGUCUGGCCAGGCCUCUGGCUCAUGGUUAGCGUUUUCAUUUAUAAAAUGCCCGCCUCCCUCCCAGAGAAAGUGAGAGAAGUCAUUCACAAAAUGAUUUUAAACUGCUUUCCAAGGAGCGGCCACUGUGGAAUUGCUUCAUAGUAGUGAAAGUUUUCACUUGAGUGGGUAUUGAAAACAACGGGUUGACCUUCCAGAAAAGGAAAACACUCCUAAUUUACUACAAAUAGAAACAAAUACGUUGUUAGUUUGUAGUUGUCAGGUCACUUGCUUGCAGCAGGACCAAGACUGACACCAUGAAAUAGCCAUUAAUUCAUCUCACCAACUGCUCAGGUUCAGCCAAGUUUGGAAUAAUUUCUUCCAGAUGCCUUGCUACCACCACCCAACAUUGAAGUGGGCAUAGCUGUGCCCGCCACCCAACGUUCUGAACCAUGGGCUUGACAUAAACUGGGCAUAGCUGUGCCUGUCCCUUACUUAGCUCUACAAUAAGAAACUCUUUAGUUACCACAUUUUGCAAGGGUCCUACCUGGAGCCAUCAUCCAUGGAAUGGUUACAUUGGGAGAAUGUAUAGGAAGCCAGUGUUUUCUAAGUUAGAAUUAAUUACCAUGCUUGUCCUUGGACAGACGGGAGGCCCGGUCAUUUCUCACUUUUGUGUAUCACCUUGCAAAGUACCCUCCAUCGCCUGCUUGGGGCCACCUAAUAACUCCAUAAACUGUGCAGGUAUUAUUGCCUCCAUCUUACAGAUGACAAAACUAAGGCCAGAAUGUCAAAUAACUAGGUAAACAAUACAGGAUUCUAAAUGUGGGGGCAUGACUUGAGCCUCCAGAGCCUGAGUCUAAGCCAGAGUGUUUCCACCAAACUGUGCCAUCUUCAUACACUGAUUUCUCUAGGUAUUUGGCCAGGUAUUUUUCUGGCCAACAAAUGAAAAUUAAUGUAGUCUCUGAGAGAGGGACUAUGGUAAGGAACUAAAUGGUCUUGCCUGGCUUCUUUAGGCUUAAAUCUUUUACUAGAAGGAAUAUGUUUUAUUAUUUGUUAUUGUCAAAAUGAUAAAUAAAAGUGCUCGAUUGCAAUGAACGUCAGUAAGUAACUGACUUGACGUUGUAUAAUUAUUAAAUGUUUAAAAUAUGUUAGUGGCAAUAGUGACACUGAUAAUAUUGAUGUGUCGUGUUUUGAAGGCACUCACUUUAAUGUUUAUAUAUCCCCAAUACAUAAUGAAUUAAGUAAGCAAGCGUCGGGUCCUAAGCAUUUUUCUAAUUUAUAUGAUUAGUAAAGAAGUACUCUGCUAAAUGGGAUAAAGUGCUAGUUUAGAAUUAUGGGAUUUCAGACUUUUCUCUGUAACUACUUGCCCUAUUGUGUCGAGUCUUACUCUUUUGUUCUAGAUGACUUUCUUUAUUCAUAAAAUGGUAGUCAGGCCUUUGUAUACUGCCAAAAAUAUGUCUACCCCACACUUAGAUUUAUUCCAAAGAAUAAUUGCACAUAGAUUGUGCACCUAUUAUAAUUACUGAUGUUUAUCCAGCACACCUAAUUUUGCCUUUGUCCCGGCUUGUUGAGGACACUGUUGCCUUAACCAGUGCAUCUUCAAGAGGAACCUUGUGGCUUCUGCCAUGACCAGACAUGGGUUUCUUGGUCUUCACAUGUGAGCGCUGCAGUCUCAGGGUUGCCAGGAUGCUUCCGAGGAUGCCAUCUUCUAUUUUUUAGUGGUUACAUUUUUCAAAAUAUAGACUGAGAUGCUGUUUCCCAUUUUGGGGGUGGCUGGCCUCCUUAUUCCUGGGAUGUGCAUGGUAAAGUGAGUUUCUGAAUGGGUCUAUGAGCUUCUUCCCCAGCCAGAGUUAAUUUAGACACCACCUCUCCCUUCUAAACAGAGCCAGGGCCCAUAUACAAGUCAAAUCUGCUAUUUUUCUUUGGGCAAUGAUUUAUUUCCCUCUUAAAUUGGCUGGACCAGUUAGUUUUUUAUUUUUAUUAAGUCACACUAUUCUUAAAUGAAACUAUUGAUUUAAAGUCAGCUUAGUGAGGAUUUAAUUUGUUUUCAGGGGAUUAGAGCAGGUAGCAUGGGAUAAUUUUACAAUGAAGUGGAGCAGAAGCAUUCCUUCACAGUGCCUCGCCUUUUUUUUUUCUUGCCAGGCUGCACAGACAUUACAAAUUUUCAAGUAAAUUGUGGAAAUACAUUCAUAAAUCAGUCCUAAUUCGUCUGCCUGCUUAAGGGUGAUUCAAAGGGGAGUUCAUUCCUGACCUUGUCUCAUGUCCUUCUGAUAGGCCACGUGUCUAGGGCUAAAACACGUGUACCUGUGCAUGUACACGAACACACACACACACACACAUACACAUACACACACCAGAUUCCUUUCCUCCUUUCCUCUCUAAGGUCCAUGUAAAAUUCUUUUUCGUCGCCUUUCCUCCCUUCAUACAGUAUUGCCUCUGUUCACACAAUGGUUUCUUUCCCUAGCAUGUGGAAGGGGUGAAGGGCGCAGGGCCUGUGGGGACUGCCUAGCUUGUGUCCCCUUCGGGUCCCCCUGGUUUCUCUGCACCCAGUGCACCCUCUCCCUGCUUUCCCCCAUGCUCCAGUAUCCUCUCUCCUGGUCGGGAUCCCUCUGACCUUCCAGGAAGUUGGGUGGCAGGUCUGGGCGCCAAUGGAGGGAGGGCAGGUGGGGAAGUGAAUGUGAUCAACUCUCAUGAUGGUUUAAAAAUCAACAGAGUGAAACUGUCCAAACACAGCUAGGGAAGGUUUUCUGUUGUUUGUUUUAAAAAGUAGAGUCUUGUCAUUGCCAGUCUGUUAUCUCUGAGCUUGGCUGUCACUAUCCAUUUCAAAAGGAGCCGUUUCUUUCUAUUGAAAUCAAAUAGAGUCAGAGCCAUUUUCAGAUUAAUGGUCCUUGGUCUAGAGGUUUCAAAACCAUUUUGGUCAAUCAUUCUGAGUGUCUCCAUUGUCCACAACCCCCUCCCACUGGGGUAGCUGGGGCCGAGUCUUGCCAAGCAUCAGGUGACUAAGUCCAUCUGGAGAAUCCGCCACUGCCAAAGGGGCUGGACUAGCAUCCCACCUACUGGGCUCCCCACCAGCAGCAACACAGGGGUCCACUGCCUUUCGUUUCACAAAUAAGUCUUGACUUCCUGAACAGUCGGCUUCAUGCCUCAUGCACUGGAACUGGAAGGCAGGGCAGGCUUUUCUCUGGGACCCGGGGUGUCACUGGGAUUCCUCUGCUAAACAGCUGUGAGUGUGGGGGAUGAAGGGAGACAGGGUGUAGGUAGCAGAUACAUCAGGUGUUUCUUGGGAUUUGGACUUUCUUCUUCCUUCCUUCCUUCCUGCCUUCCUUCCUUCCUUCCUUCAUUCCUUCCUCCCUCCCUCCCUCUCUCUCUCCCUCCCUCCCUCCCUCCCUCUCUCUCUCUCUCUUUCUUUCUUUUUUUCAAGGAGUUGCAUUCUGAUUGCCCAGGCUGGAGUGCAAUGGUGUGAUCUUGGCUCACUGCAACCUCUGCCCUCUGCCUCCCAAGUUCAAGUGAUUCUCCUGCCUCAGCCUCCCGAGUAGCUGAGAUUACAGGCAUGUGCCACCAUGCCCAACUAAUUUUGUAUUUUUAGUAGGGAUGGAAUUUCUCCAUGUUGAUCAGGCUGGUCUUUAACUCCCAACCUCAGGUGAUCCACCCACCUCAGCUUCCUGAAGUGCUGGGAUUAUAGGUGUGAGCUACUGUGCCCGGUGGGAUUUGGGCUUUCCAUAGCACUCAGUUUGAUUGCGGAGAGCAGGUGAAUUGCCAAGACCUGCCUGUGGCCAUGGAGUGCAGCAGCAGGUGUGUGUGGCCGGCCAGCCUGUGGGACCAGAAGGAGACUUGAGGAUGGGGUCACGAAUGCUCCACUGCAUGGAGGAUGGGUGAGCUCAGGUCUGCCUGUUCUUGGUGUGAACGACUCACAAGAAGACUUGCCUAGAGAAAUUCAAGGGACCAACCAUACCACAAGAGAAUACAAAUGGCACAGAGCAGUAGGCAUCAUGGCAUGAGGUACCGGAACUGUGCAAGGAUUACACAAGCAUUAAAAAUGCAGAAUGGAUUGCAAGAAAAAUGCCAUAUAUUUUCUGAGUAGUCAGAGGAAAGUGUGUACGUAAAGGUGUCACGAGAAGCAUAGUGAAACUGAACUGAAAUGUUAAGAGUAACAACACAGGAAAGAUCAGCAGCAGCAGAGAUGGGAGACAUACAGGAGAAAGGCCGGAGAACUCUGAGCCAGCACCAGCACGGUUCCAGGGAAUUCCAGUGAGGGAAGGCGAGGCCAGGGUUGUAGAGAAACCCUGCUCUGCAGUUUCUGUGGGCAGUGGCCUCCCACGGAAGAACUCCUGCCCUCGGUGGAGGAGUCUCCCCUCGGGGGCUGAACCCCUUCAGCAGAGGAGCACCCUUCUUUAUGUGACCUGAUCCCCCAGGACACUUGAGUCACCCCUCCAGCUCCACAGGAAG
rnacentral:lncRNA from 1 species